rnacentral:rRNA from 1 species
ACGGGGGGUGCAAGCGUUGUUCGGAAUCAUUGGGCGUAAAGGGCGUGUAGGCGGCUAGAUAAGUCAGAUGUGAAAUCCCUGGGCUUAACCCAGGAAGUGCAUUUGAAACUGUUUGGCUUGAGUAGGGGAGAGGAAAGUGGAAUUCCUGGUGUAGAGGUGAAAUGCGUAGAUAUCAGGAGGAACACCGAUGGCGAAGGCGGCUUUCUGGACCUAUACUGACGCUGAGACGCGAAAGCGUGGGUAGCAAACAG